rnacentral:rRNA from 1 species
AUUGAACGCUGGCGGCAUGCCUUACACAUGCGAGUCGAGCGGCAGCACGGGUGCUUGCACCUGGUGGCGAGUGGCGAACGGGUGAGUAAUACAUCGGAACAUGUCCUGUAGUGGGGGAUAGCCCGGCGAAAGCCGGAUUAAUACCGCAUACGAUCUACGGAUGAAAGCGGGGGACCUUCGGGCCUCGCGCUAUAGGGUUGGCCGAUGGCUGAUUAGCUAGUUGGUGGGGUAAAGGCCUACCAAGGCGACGAUCAGUAGCUGGUCUGAGAGGACGACCAGCCACACUGGGACUGAGACACGGCCCAGACUCCUACGGGAGGCAGCAGUGGGGAAUUUUGGACAAUGGGCGAAAGCCUGAUCCAGCAAUGCCGCGUGUGUGAAGAAGGCCUUCGGGUUGUAAAGCACUUUUGUCCGGAAAGAAAUCCUUGGCUCUAAUACAGUCGGGGGAUGACGGUACCGGAAGAAUAAGCACCGGCUAACUACGUG